rnacentral:tRNA from 1 species
GGAGAGAUGGCCGAGUGGCUUAAGGCGCACGCUUGGAAAGCGUGUGUACGGGAAACUGUACCGUGGGUUCGAAUCCCACUCUCUCCGCCA